AACGAACGCUGGCGGCAUGCCUAACACAUGCAAGUCGAACGAGACCUUCGGGUCUAGUGGCGCACGGGUGCGUAACGCGUGGGAAUCUGCCCUUGGGUUCGGAAUAACGUUUGGAAACGAACGCUAAUACCGGAUGAUGUCUUCGGACCAAAGAUUUAUCGCCCAGGGAUGAGCCCGCGUAGGAUUAGCUUGUUGGUGAGGUAAAGGCUCACCAAGGCGACGAUCCUUAGCUGGUCUGAGAGGAUGAUCAGCCACACUGGGACUGAGACACGGCCCAGACUCCUACGGGAGGCAGCAGUGGGGAAUAUUGGACAAUGGGUGAAAGCCUGAUCCAGCAAUGCCGCGUGAGUGAUGAAGGCCUUAGGGUUGUAAAGCUCUUUUACCCGGGAUGAUAAUGACAGUACCGGGAGAAUAAGCCCCGGCUAACUCCGUGCCAGACGCCGCCGUAAAAC
rnacentral:rRNA from 1 species